CGGGACGUAGCGCAGCAUGGUAGCGCACUUGACUGGGGGUCAAGUGGUCGGAGGUUCAAAUCCUCUCGUCCCGACCA
rnacentral:tRNA from 1 species